ACUCAAAGGAAUUGACGGGGACCCGCACAAGCGGUGGAGCGUGUUGUUUAAUUCGAGGCUAAGCGAAGAACCUUACCAGGGUUUGACAUCCUAGGAAUUUCUGUGAAAGCAGAGAGUGCCUUCGGGAACCUAGUGACAGAUGAUGCAUGGCCGUCGUCAGCUCGUGUCGUGAGAUGUUUGGUUAAGUCCAUCAACGAGCGCAACCCUUAUGAAUAGUUGUAUUUUUCUAUUCAGACUGCCCCGGUAACGGGGAGGAAGGAGGGGAUGAGGUCAGGUCUGUAUUUCUCUUACAUCCUGGGCUACAAACGCGCUACAAUGGCCGGUACAACGGGCAGCUAAGUCGCGAGACGGAGCAAAUCCCAUCAAAGCCGGUCCCAGUUCGGAUUGCAGGCUGAAACUCGCCUGCAUGAAGUCGGAAUCGCUAGUAAUCGCAGGUCAGCACACUGCGGUGAAUACGUUCCCGGGUCUUGCACACACCGCCCGU
rnacentral:rRNA from 1 species